CAGCCGCCGCGGUAAUACGAAGGGUGCAAGCGUUAAUCGGAAUUACUGGGCGUAAAGCGUGCGCAGGCGGUUCGGAAAGAAAGAUGUGAAAUCCCAGGGCUCAACCUUGGAACUGCAUUUUUAACUACCGGACUAGAGUAUGUCAGAGGGAGGUGGAAUUCCACGUGUAGCAGUGAAAUGCGUAGAGAUGUGGAGGAACACCGAUGGCGAAGGCAGCCCCCUGGGCCAAUACUGUCGCUCUUGCACGAAAGCGUGGGAGCAAACAGGAUUAGAUACCCCUGUAGUCCCUGUCUCUUAUCAC
rnacentral:rRNA from 1 species